AGGUGAGUCAAAAGAAAAAGGGAAAAUGUUUUAAUUGUAACGAAAUUGGACAUUUCGCCCGGGAGUGUAACACUCCCUGCAAAAGACGUCACCACCAAUAUUGUAGUUUAACUGAGGGAAAGGUCAGAGGCGACAAUCGGGAAAAGAAAAAGAAGGGUUAGAUACAAAGGGAGCGAGAUUAAUGAGAAUCAUAACUGAGGGAAAACUUUGGGUGUUUAAAUUAGUGCUAUUUUCUGUUGUUCAGAUGCCGGAGUAACAAAUACAGAUAACUGUAAAUUGGGUCUAUUUGCGGAGAAUCUCAGUUUCAUAGCAUUGAUAGCAUUGAUGGUAUAGUGGUGAGCGUAGCAGUCUCACAACCUGCAGUCCAGGAUUCGGUUCCCAGCUGAGGCGUAAAAAUAUAUAUCUGAGUUUUUGGUUGUAAUUAAACUAAUUGUUUUGCGGAGAAAGUUAUAGUCACUAGUAUUGGAAUAAGAUAUAAACUGAACGUUUUAAAUAGUUUGUUUGGUUCAAAUUGAAAGACUAAUUCAUUCAACUUAAAAUAAGAACGAAGCGAAUUUUGAUGCAAGACGAUGUCUGUUCACUAAAUGAUCUGUUGGGAAUAAUACAUUGGGAAUAGAGUCGUAAUUAAAAUGCUAAAUCAAAGACGAGACAGUAACUUAAAUCAAAUUAAUUCUGAAUAAUAUCGGGGGAACAAUUAAGAUAGAUUUGUGUCCAUCGAAAUGUUUUUAUAAAAUUAGCGAAUUGAGAGAUGUUGAUUGAUGUUGUAAACUCUAAUUCAGGAUUCAACAGAUGUGAUAAAUUAGGUUUGGUUUAUCGAACCCGAAAUACCAACCAUUAUUUACAAUUAAUUGAAAAUCGUUGCGAAUUGAGUCGAGGUUGAGCGCUUGUUGAUGACAUCACUCGCGAGGCUUUCGUCGCCACGGAAAUGAUGUCGUGUCUGGGGGUAACGGAGAAAAUGGUUCGUGUCUUUUAGAAGGAAAAUGCGUGCAUUAUUGUUGAGUCACUUUUCAGAAGUUGAUAAAAAUGUCGAAAUACAUUUUUAAAAGGAGUAUGUAAGUCGCCAGGAAAGAUGCUAAAAACUAGCAGCUGAUUCGCUAGGUGGGUAUCAUUGAUUUGUGGCGUUUAUCUGGACUGUAAUUAGGCCAUGAGAAGGGAGAUUGAAUGUCUGAAUCGUAAAACAUCGUGAUAAUGGAUUCUGAUGGUUAUUGAUUCCUGAUUUGAUGGUUUAUGUAACACCAGUGAAUUUGAGCACUGUUUCCAUUAUGUGGAACAAUGUUAGGGUAUUAAUGUUGAAAAGCAACCUCUAUAGUAAAACAUAAUUGUAUAUGUUUCGGGAAACUAGCUAGGUUGAAUUUGGUUAUUUGAGCUUUUCCCUUGUUAAGUAGACAUCUGUAACAGGGGCAAGUUGUUUUUCCUUGAGGAACACGCAGAUGGUGUUUUGUUAGGACUAUUCGUUUUGGUGCAAAGGUAUUUUAAAGAGGCACGCUCAAAUAUGGAACUUUAUGAGUUUUUAUUUUAUGAGUUUUAAUUAUACAAGUGAUUUUUUUUUUAAUGACCGAUUGACCUUGUCAUGACUGUCUUCUGAGGUCUGAUCAGCCUCAGGGGAGAGUCAUUUGUAUAAUGAAUGUGGUCAUAUUGAGUUACUAGUUUUAAGGUAAAUUCAUUAUAAUGGAGUUUUAGUUAGGGGUUUGGAAUUAUUGUUUGAAUCACUGAAGAGAAAGUGUUUCAGGAUUCUGAUUUACAAUAUUAGCUGUGAAGUUUUUGAAUGGGCUAUUAAUGAUUUGGUAUUGUAAUGGAGAAAAAAAAUCCUAUUUAUCAUUGAGAAUAAAUAGGGGAAGAUAAGAUACAUUGAGGUUUGGAUAGGAGAUAUGUUAAGCCAAUAGGGCAGGGAAUUACAUAGAAAAAUAAGUUUCAGUUCUUAGGGGUGAUAAAUUACUGUAGAUAAGAUAUUCCACACUUUGCAACAUAUAUUAAAUUCAUGUUAUUAUCAGAAUACUGAGGGUCCCUGAAGGAAAGAGCUUGUUAGUGUAGGAAGGAUUUCGAUAUGAUUAGCAUUUUUUUGAAUUUGUUUGACUAUUAGGAGUUUUUAUAAGUAGUAUUAAAUUUAACAGGAAUAUAGGACAUCUGUGAUGAUUUAGGAUUAUUGUUAGGAUUAAGAUAGAUUUAUUAAGGAAAUGUAAGGACUUUAGAGAUUGCCACUCAGAUAUGUUUUUUCUAAAAUCAAUGAUUUUAGAUCAAGUCAAACAGUUAGAAGCUUAGUGGUAUUUGAGAGAUAUGAGAGAAAGGUGUUACGGUUUAAAUCUGUAAAUAUAUAUAUUUAAGAAAAUAUAUAAGUAGCACAUACUUCUUUAAAGUAGAUAAGAAACUUGACAGAGUAUUGGUACAGGAUUGACAUGAAUGGAUGCCCAAGGGAGAAUUGGACAUGUGGAAAAUUGAAAGGGGCUCCUACAUGAUGAUGGCAGAGCCAGAUUUUAUGCACUACAGGUGAAUUACAGGUGAAGUCACUCAAUCCAGUCCCUGAGGCCUGUUGGGGGGACCAUACCAAGGACUCCUGGUGACAGCUAGCAGAAAGAACUACCCGGAUUCAUAUCACAUUGCGGGAGGUUAAGACACUCUGACACUGUCGAACAAUAACAGAGUUCGAGAGGAGAACUGGAAUUAACAGAAUUCUUGGGGCCAUCUCUCGAAUGAAAAAUACCUUACCUGUCCUUUCCUCACUGUUCUUGUUCAUAGAAGUGAAAAUGUGUCUGACUCUUGCUAAUGAUGUGUUUUCUGGAAGAGGGUGGGGCUUUAUAGGUGAGCUGUCCAUCCUAAGCUGUAUGGUUGGAGAUCUUAUUCCUACAACAUGAACCCGAGAAGGCCAGAGGGUAAUAUUGACAUAAUUAAACGAGAAAUUAGUAUUAACCAAGCAUAAGAGAUUACUUGAUCUGGAUAAACAGGAAGUGAGAGUAGGAUAGGGAGGGAUGUCUCAGUGGAGUUCUAUGUAAACCAAGUGGUGUCUGACUCCUUGGCAGUACAGGACUAAGAGUAGCUAUCAUGGAAGACAUAUAUGCAAGUCUCUGUGUAGUUCAUGGAAACAAGUUAUAGCUCACACCAUGUGAGAAGGCUACAUAAAUCUACAUACCCAGCAUGGAAGGAGAUGGAGUGUAGUGAAAGUAAGGGUUUCAGUUGAUAACCUAGUGCAUUCCAGGUAGAAAAAGUUAAGAGCAGCUGGUUGCUCUAUAGGCAGCAGAAUACAAGCAUGGUCCCUGACAAAGCAGAUACUGACUGUGGAGUUGUCCAGAGCCAAGAGCCGGUGUGGAUAGUUCAGAAAUGGAAUUAUUCACCUAAGGGAACAGCCUGUAUGGUAAAGCUAUUCAUGGAAGCAGGAAAGCCAGAUAAUAAGUUGUAUGGAUUUGCACUAUUUAUAUCCACAUGUUCCUCUGAAAUCUGAGCUUCCUCCUUUCACAGAGGCAACGGGAGACUGUUUAUUGUUUAAUUCAGUAUAGUACUCCUGAGAAAUAUGUGAGGUAAAAUCAGUACUGCAAUAGGACAGAUAAUGUUACUUCUGAUGCGACCAAUGAGUGAUUUGGCAGACUGGUUGAGAUCUGGGGAUUUCAGUAAGAUAAGGAGGCUCAGGGCUCACAUCUGUUGAAUGUGUGGGAGAAUGACAUGAUGGCGGAGUAUUACUGGCUAAUUGAACAGAGGUAUGUGUACUGAAACAUUUUGAGAAUGCCUUUUACGCUCAUUCAACACCAUGACAUGGUGUUGACUGAACGGGAGAAAAGAAGUACUCCGACUGGGUCUUUUGAUGAUAGGGUUUGUAUUAAUAACAUUGUGGAUCCAAGGGUGGCAGAUGAGAUCAAAGCUAUAAAUUAGAUCCUGGCAGGAUUAGAGUCAAGUAUUUUUUGGUGGUCCACUCUCAAUGAGAAUGUGGAUUGGAUCGAUUAUAUCUAUUAAAAAUCCACAGUGCUUCACCAAUUAUUUUAGAGAUGUAAUGAAUGACUUGGCAGAAUAGAAUAGUCUUGGAUGUUUGCUGGCUGAAGAGGGUGGGUGUGUAUAGGUAAUUUGACUCCGGGAUAUACAGUUAGGAUGGAUCAGUGACCAAGGCCUUGUCUGGUUUACACACCCUAGUUCACGAGUUGGAAAUAAACUCAGGGGUGGAUACUUCUUUGGCUAAUUGGGUUGACUGUGUGUUUGAAAGAUGGAAAAAUGUUAUGAUUACUGUGUUAUGGGCUACCUUCACCUGUGUGACUAUGUUAGUUUUGUACGGACGUGGUUGAUUGCGUGUAUGUAUGAAAGUUAUCAUUUCCAGGACUCUGGAGAAAUCGAUGACACUUCAGAUGGAGAUAUAUGGACCAAUCCUAAGCUCUGACCAGUGGAAUACAAAAUACAUGGCUUGGACGUAAUAGAAGAAUCCGGAUCCUUUCACUCGCGAGGAGACCAUAUUUGAUGUUUAGGAAAUUUAGAUGUUUUCUUAUUUCAAUGUAUAGACUGUUUUUUCAUGGAGAUUAACAGAAAAUCCUGAUAAGUAGAAUUAAGAUUCUGAUGUAGGAUAGAACAGUCAUGGAAGUUGAUUAUGUACAUACAUGUAUUGGUUGUCUUCUUUUAGUAUAUCAUUGAUAUUUCCAUGUAGUGUUUAAUGUUGGUAUGAGUUAAGUCAUUUUGAGGGUGGAUUGUUAGGAAAUUAUGAUUAAUAUGACUGAACAAAUCAUUUUAAAUGGAACUGUAAGUAAACUUAUACUCUGUUAUAUUAUGUUUAAUAGACUAUAUGAGUUCAUAAGAAGAAAUUGUGUGACAGGAGAAAGGAGUAAUAAAAUGUUAAAGAACACCAUUCCAACUGGGCAGGAACAAAUGGGUUGGGGACUGUGUAAACACAUAAGGUCGUUAGCCUAUGGUUGACCCAACCUGAAACUUAGCUCUGGGGUUUUUAGAUUAGGCAGUGAGUGCAUUCCUAGGGUUUCUGUUAAUUAAAACUCAGUUCAGUGGUGAUCGAUAAUGUUGAGGGGUCAAAAGUUAUCUGGGAGUGUGUUAGUAAGUUAGAAUGAACUUUUCACCUUACUUUGUCCUGUCGAGAGGAGGGGGUUCGGUUAAGGCAGUGAAAUGACGUCAUGAUCUGUAUUUAAACUGAUGCAUGUGGUUGAGUGGUAGCGCGCUCCGAGAAUAAAUUCUAUUACC
ensembl:lncRNA